UACGAAGGGUGCAAGCGUUACUCGGAAUUACUGGGCGUAAAGCGUGCGUAGGUGGUCUGUUAAGUCUGAUGUGAAAGCCCUGGGCUCAACCUGGGAAUUGCAUUGGAUACUGGCAGGCUAGAGUGCGGUAGAGGAUGGCGGAAUUCCCGGUGUAGCAGUGAAAUGCGUAGAGAUCGGGAGGAACAUCUGUGGCGGAAGGCGGCUCUCUGGGACGGUACUGACGCUGAGACGCGAAAGCGUGGGGAGCGAACAGG
rnacentral:rRNA from 1 species